CAAUAACUUCAAAGACAGUGUGCAGAUGAUUUUGAAAUAUUUUUGAUGGACCACUCCUGGAUGAAUGAGGGAUUACACCGACUCAUCACUAAGAGAGAUCCACUGUGUAUUGUUCUCCAUGGUGCUCUCCAGCCUCUGUAUCUUCUGCGUGGACCAGUCCGAGUCCUGGGUCGUGGGGGAGUCUCUCUGGACCACACUGGCUCCCGGUCUCACCCCAGGGACCUGUCCUCUUCCCUGACAACUUUCCAGUUCCGGCAGCACGAAUGUGUAACUGCACUGUCCGUGUUGGAUCCUGUGCAGCCUCCUCUUCUUCUCCGCUCCUCCACCAGUUUUGUCUCUCCUCUGGUUCCUUCCAAGUCCUCUGUCAGAAGAAGUGGAAGAAGAUCCUGCAGCAUCAGCAACAGUGGUUAAAGUCCAGAGAAUGAGUAGUAAGAUCCAAUAAGGACUGCAAUGCCUCAUGACUUUCCUUUGAAUGAAGUUUGAAGUUCUUAAUGGAAAAAGAGCUGUUGAGGAGGACCAAAAUGGAGGAAGGACCCGGGGUGAAGUGAGACAAGAGGAGAGUGACACAACACAGCAGUAAUAAUUAUUUAUGAGGCCCUCUGUCCAUGUCCUAACUCAAGGAUACACAGCAGACCUCCUGAGACCAGACCUGGGACUUUACAAGACAUGAAGGACCGGUCUGGGGUCUGGACUAGAUCCCAGAUUAGUCACUUGGAAGAGUCUUUUUUGGCAUAAAUCAUUCAUAAAUUAACUUAAUUUGUUUCUAAAUGUGCAAAGAUAACAGAGCGGUUAAAUGUAGUUAGUUGGACCA